UACAGGGGGUGCUAGCGUUGUUCGGAAUUACUGGGCGUAAAGGGCGCGUAGGCGGUUUUGUAAGUCAGGAGUGAAAUCCCAGAGCUUAACUCUGGAAUUGCUUUUGAAACUACAAGGCUAGAGUGAGUUAGAGGAUGGCGGAAUUCCUAGUGUAGUGGUGAAAUACGUAGAUAUUAGGAAGAACACCGGUGGCGAAGGCGGCCAUCUGGGACUCAACUGACGCUGAGGCGCGAAAGCGUGGGGAUCAAACAGG
rnacentral:rRNA from 1 species